rnacentral:tRNA from 1 species
GCUUCAGUGGCAUAGUGGUUAACGCACAAGCCCCGGUUAGGUGCGAGGCGCGGGUUCGAAUCCCGCCUGAGAUA